GGGGACGCUGCAGCGCACCAAGCUGCUGCUCAGAAAGACCCCGAUUGCGCUCCAGGUCCCGCCCCUGGAGCCCGCCCGCGGUCCCGGCGGCUGAGGUUGCGCCUUGGGCUUGUGCCAGCCGCCUGGCUACCGCGACAGGGCGGCCACUGCCCCGCCACGCCCCCCCCAGGUCCUGGCGCUGCUGGUUUGCUGGAUGAGCUGUUCCACUACUUCCAACAGUCUACGCUGUUGGCUGCCACCCUGGCCCAGCGAUCAAGCUGCCCGGACAUACAAGAUGAAAGAAGAUGGUAACUCCUGGUGCAGCUGUCUGCUAGAUUGACUGGCAGUCUGAGCUGCUCCAGCUGGUGACCAAUCUCAUCAGAGAUAACAGUAAGGACCUUUGGUAGCACAGGAGAUGUUAAGUCACACACAAGAUGUAAUGUCACCAUCCAGGCUGGGGAGUCUAAAGACUGGUUCUCUCUUCCUCUAGUUGCUGAUGGAUGGGGAUUCUGGAUCUGAGGUGAGGUGCGUGUAGAGGCCAGCAAUGGAAACUCUGGGCAAUGUCCUCCUCCUGGCCGAGUGCUGCUACUACUGCUUUCCUACUACUGGAAAUUCCUAGGAUUCUGAAGUCAUUUAAACAGGAAAACUGUUCCAAGUAAAUUAUGUGUUUCUGAGCUUCAUCACUCUGUUUUCAGCACAUAUGGACUAAGUGUUUUUCAUGAAUAUAGACAGUACACCCAACACCCCACCCUCCAAAAA